rnacentral:rRNA from 1 species
CGUUAAUAUAUGACCCGAUUAGCAGCUUCCGGGAAACCAAAGUUUUUCGUUUCCGGGGGAAGUAUGGUUGCAAAGCUGAAACUUAAAGGAAUUGACGGAAGGGCACCACCAGGAGUGGAGCCUGCGGCUUAAUUUGACUCAACACGGGAAAACUCACCCGGCCCGGACACCGUAAGGAUUGACAGACUGAGAGCUCUUUCUUAAUUCGGUGGGUGGUGGUGCAUGGCCGUUCUUAGUUGGUGGAGCGAUUUGUCUGGUUAAUUCCGAUAACGAACGAGACUCUGGCCUAUUAAAUAGACGAUAUAUUUAAAAGUAUAUCGCGCUUCUUAGAGGGACAAGCGGCGUCUAGCCGCAUGAAAUAGAGCAAUAACAGGUCUGUGAUGCCCUUAGAUGUCCGGGGCUGCACGCGCGCUACACUGAAAGAAUCAGUGUGCGUUACGCCUAGUUCGGAAGAACCGGGUAACCCAAGUAAAUUCUUUCGUGCUUGGGAUAGGGAAUUGCAAUUAUUUCCCUUAAACGAGGAAUUCCCAGUAAAUGCGGGUCAUAAGCUCGCGUUGAUUACGUCC